AAUUCAAUCUCGUUAAGCUAUUUAAAUUUGUUAUUGUAAUAGUACCAACUUCAACAACAUUAUAAUAAUUGUUUAUGAGUGAAAUUUAUAUUAAUACAAUUUAACGACACAAACAAGAGCAUGAAGAGGUAAGUAAUUAAAUUAAGUUUUCAAUAUUAAUUAAAUAACUAAACUACUUUGUCUUAUUGAUAUCUAUAUACAAAAUGUGGAAAUCAUUGUCAACUGCGACAACUCUUCAUUGUUUUUUAAAAUUGUUGUUGAAUGGAAUUACGCUUUUAAUCAUGUUAAUUUAGAUUACGAAAUAUACCACUUUGUCCUCUAAAUAUAAACAUUCAAAAUUGUGGUAUCAUUCUCAACUGAGACAAUAUUUUUUUAUUGGAUAGCACUAUCAUGAUUCUGUUUGUAAAAUCAAUCUAAUUCACAACAUCCAAAAAAAAGCUAGUUGUUCGAAUAAUUUGUUACUAUUUUUUCAACUUACCCAAAUGCAAAUUUUUCUGUAGUCGUAAAACACCCUAAAACCUUAAAUAAGAAACACACUAUGCUAGUUUUAUCAACACUAUUUUUUUUCAUUUUUCAUCUGAAUCUAUCUCAUCUGAGUUUGAUGCAACACCUUCAGUAUCAGAUUGACUUCAGGGUGAGAUGUACAAAUCAUAUAAUCAGCAUUUAAUCCUGGAUAUGGAUUGUAAUGGAAGCAACUAAAAUGGGUUAAAGUAGGGUACUGCAAUGUAAACAAAACUGAAAUUGUAGAUCGAAAGGACGAUAUGUACAGAUGACAACGUCAAUCUAUGGAAACGUCAGAUUUUUUCAACUUUUACAUGGUCAAAAUGCAUUGUUGAAACGCUGUAAAAAGUGGUUUAUAUAUCCAUUAAACUAAACGUCUGUAAACAAGGUUCUAAAAGUCAUGAACAUUGCGUCUAGAGACAACAGACAACAUAUGUGAACAACCAUAAUAUUUCAAAGCUUAUUUACAAGAUUUUAACAUCUGAAACUGGUGUCUUAAUGUAUUUUCAAAUGUUACGAGUAUCUAUUGUAGACAGUAUUCUCAGCGAGGAUUUACCAGCAUGUUAGCACUUGCAUGCCAAAUAUUAGAAAAAUAAACCAAUAACUGACUGACACGUCGUCCAGAAAAAUAGUGUGAGUUGGAUGCUGUCCAGCACAUGCCAAAUCUAAAAGAAAUAUAUGUCCUUAAGAUUAAUUUAAACAAAUUCAGAAAAUAAUUUUAUUCAUCAAGUUCUGCUCUGUAUUGUAAAAUUUUAAACAAGUGUAUGUAUAGUCGGUCAUGUAAUGUACAACUUUCAUAUAAUUUAGAUCUCACUAUAUUGUGUAGAAAGUUACAG